CUGAAGACAUUAAACACAGUAAGAGAUAUCAAAAGCUCCUCAUGGUUGCUGGCAUCACACGUAUUAAAUCAGUUUUAAAUUAUGAAAUUCCCUCCAGUAAAUUUAUCAACUCACCUGUCGUACUCAUUAGACCGUCAGAACAAUCAAUGCCUUUCGCAGAGGACUAUGGUCUUUCUCAGUUCUGCGUUAAACCAGUAGACGUUUUCUUUGUGGAUGGCAAUCACUUAACAAUUCUUGAAAACAAGAAAACUGCUGACAUUAUAAUGAAACUAGUUGAAAAAGAUGAUCAAGACUUCAAGCAGGCCAUUAUGUCGCAAAGCAACCUUGCCAGUCUUCAAGAGGAACAACGGCGUGUCUGAUCAGAUAACUGCCAAUAGCGUAUACUCUGUCUAGCAAGUUAUGGUACUUGGUAUAUCGGAAUAAAAGAACUGUGUAGUAGCAGCGCAGCCGCUCUCACCCUCAUCACGUAUCAACAUGGCCAAUUUUUCCCCUUCGCAUAGUGGAUAGUAUUGAUCACCGAUCAAAAAUCUGUAUCUUAAGAUUUUUGGAUCAUCGCCAAUAUAAGAACUCAUGUUAAUAUUAAUAGCCUCUGAUGAAAGCUUAAAGCACCUGAAAGAGAUUGAGUCAAUCUUCAACUGAUUUGUUCCCAAUAUAUAGUCUAUAGCACGUCACUGCAGCACCGCGGUCCAUUGUACGGCGAAACCUGAUUCGGCGCAUUGACAGAAGACGGUAGCGGCUCGCCGCCACCACAUCGUACCGUUAAUGCCAAUUUGCCAAAUUCCAUAACUCGCUGGACACAGUAGAGUUACCUUACUGACGAGGAGUUUGCCUCUAAUGUUCGUUUCCUAUUUUAAUGGCAUCUCGGGGAUUAGUAGUCCUUGGAGAAUUAUUCUGCAAAGUGAAAUUCAUUUUCUUCAACGAACUAAAGAAAAUUCACUGGUUCCUCAAGGACUUCUAAUACCCAAAUUUCCCAUUCGGGGAGUACCUAGACAUUAAAAGCGGUUUUCUAAUAAAUUCACAAAAAAUCUUUUGUAAGCUACCUAGUCAAUACAACUUUUCUUGCAAGUCUGGUCUUAUUUCUUUGUCUUUGAACGAAUUUGUAAGUUCUGCAAAAAUUAAAGUAAACCGUGAAGAUGUAGUGUAGAGUAGAAGUUGUUCAGCAGCGAUGGCAUGGUGGUGCGAGAAUCAAACUCGAGUGUCAUGAGCGUCAUGUUCAUGACAACGUUUCGAUGCCGUUACGGAUUUUACGGGAUGCUCAGCUGGGACUGAUGACGUCCACAAAGACCUACAUCGAUGCAGUGACCUGCGUGACCCCAGCUUAUUGUUAGUAUUCCAAUGCAUCUGCCUGAGCGCCUGAGCUGAACACUUUUUCCUCAGUCUUGCUAUGAAACUCCAGGGUGGUUUUACCGAAGUCUACAUGAAAAAUUCACAAUACCUCCAAAUCUGAAGGCGGGAAACAACAGUGGAGCAUUUCAGGAUAACAUAUCCAAUGUCAACAUAAACAAUGUCAGCACCUACUAUACCCUAAAUUUCAGCCCAUUUUUAAUAAUGCUUCAAAAUGCCUGCACCCGAUAAUAGACGGAAAAAUUUCCGCCAGAAGGUGAAGAUCGUGCAGAUCGGAAUACAUUUUAUGAUCUGAUACAUCCCCCUGGAUAAUGCCAUCGCAAUGGUAGAGAGGAGCAAAGAGCAGGGGAAAACAAAGAUUGAGCGAAGUACAACAAGGUUAGUCUAAACUCAAGAAUGGUUCGCCAGGUCAGGCCAUUCUUCCGGCAGUUGCGUGAGAUGGAGAGUUAGACUUUAGUCUCUUUAGCCUGCUAAUUAACUUGAACCUUACAGCAAUUUUAAAAAUGUAAAGAUAGAAAUUAAAAUAAAAAAUUGGAAAGUAGAAAAGUCGAUAGGAAUUUUAAAAAUAUUAA
rnacentral:lncRNA from 1 species